AAGAUUAAGCCAUGCAUGUCUAAGUAUAAGCAAUUAUACCGCGAAACUGCGAAUGGCUCAUUAAAUCAGUUAUCGUUUAUUUGAUAGUACCUUACUACAUGGAUAACCGUGGUAAUUCUAGAGCUAAUACAUGCUAAAAAUCCCGACUUCGGAAGGGAUGUAUUUAUUAGAUUAAAAACCAAUGCCCUUCGGGGCUCUCUGGUGAUUCAUAAUAACUUCUCGAAUCGCAC
rnacentral:rRNA from 1 species